rnacentral:rRNA from 1 species
UCAUUGGAGAGUUUGAUCCUGGCUCAGGACGAACGCUGGCGGCGUGCUUAACACAUGCAAGUCGAACGGAAAGGCCCCUUUGGGGGUACUCGAGUGGCGAACGGGUGAGUAACACGUGAGUAACCUGCCCUUGACUUCGGGAUAACUUCAGGAAACUGGGGCUAAUACCGGAUAGGAAUCCUUGCUGCAUGGUGGGGGUUGGAAAGCUUCGGCGGACGGGUAGCCGGCCUGAGAGGGCGACCGGCCACAUUGGGACUGAGAUACGGCCCAGACUCCUACGGGAGGCAGCAGUGGGGAAUAUUGCACAAUGGGCGGAAGCCUGAUGCAGCAACGCCGCGUGCGGGAUGACGGCCUUCGGGUUGUAAACCGCUUUCAGCAGGGGCGAAGCUUUUGUGACGGUACCUGCAGAAGAAGCACCGGCUAACUACGUGCCAGCAGCCGCGGUGAUACGUAGGGUGCGAGCGUUGUCCGGAUUUAUUGGGCGUAAAGAGCUCGUAGGUGGUUGAUUGCGUCGGAAGUGAAAACUUGGGGCUUAACCCUGAGCGUGCUUUCGAUACGGGUUGACUUGAGGAAGGUAGGGGAGAAUGGAAUUCCUGGUGGAGCGGUGGAAUGCGCAGAUAUCAGGAGGAACACCAGUGGCGAAGGCGGUUCUCUGGACCUUUCCUGACGCUGAGGAGCGAAAGCGUGGGGAGCGAACAGGCUUAGAUACCCUGGUAGUCCACGCUGUAAACGGUGGGUACUAGGUGUGGGGUCCAUUCCACGGAUUCCGUGCCGUAGCUAACGCAUUAAGUACCCCGCCUGGGGAGUACGGCCGCAAGGCUAAAACUCAAAGGAAUUGACGGGGCCCCGCACAAGCGGCGGAGCAUGCGGAUUAAUUCGAUGCAACGCGAAGAACCUUACCUGGGUUUGACAUGGACUGGGAGUGCUCAGAGAUGGGUAUGCCUCCUUGUGGGGCUGGUUCACAGGUGGUGCAUGGCUGUCGUCAGCUCGUGUCGUGAGAUGUUGGGUUAAGUCCCGCAACGAGCGCAACCCUCGUUCACUGUUGCCAGCACGUUAUGGUGGGGACUCAGUGGAGACCGCCGGGGUCAACUCGGAGGAAGGUGGGGAUGACGUCAAGUCAUCAUGCCCCUUAUGUCCAGGGCUUCACGCAUGCUACAAUGGCCGGUACAAAGAGUUGCGAGCCUGUGAGGGUGAGCGAAUCUCGGAAAGCCGGUCUCAGUUCGGAUUGGGGUCUGCAACUCGACCCUAUGAAGUCGGAGUCGCUAGUAAUCGCAGAUCAGCAACGCUGCGGUGAAUACGUUCCCGGGGCUUGUACACACCGCCCGUCAAGUCAUGAAAGUCGGUAACACCCGAAGCCGGUGGCCUAACCUGUGUGGGGGAGCCGUCGAAGGUGGGACUGGUAAUUAGGACUAAGUCGUAACAAGGUAGCCGUACCGGAAGGUGCGGCUGGAUCACCUCCUUU